GACCGCGUAGCUCAGUUGGCAGAGCAUUGGGCUAGUAUUCCAAAGGUAGGUUCGAUUCCCACCGUGGUCA